UUAAAACUAAAGGCCCAUUCUGGAAAAUGGCUUGUGAUCACAAAUAAUGAAAAGUCGCCUACACAAAAUUAGGUUUAGAUUGUUAUGCUAUGUUUGUUCUUACUAUCAGCCUCAUUUUUCUUGCUGCAGCAAUUCCAGGUUAGUUCAUUAUCUUGAACAAAUAUAGCACGUGUGAUCUAAAUAUUAGUUUCAGUCCUUCCUAAAAUAUAAUGUUCUUAUUCUUUCUCUUAUUCAUCUGGUCAUAUUAUUGCUUCAGAGUGUAUUGCUCAUUUUUUUUUUUCCAGUUGCAAUUUGUUUCUUCCUAUUUUUGAUGCUAUCUUAUAUCCGACCGUUCUUGCUAUUAUAGCAGCCUAUCAUUUCCAUUACUAUAGUGUUUGUCAAUAAAAAGGAAAUAAUCAGCUAAACUGCACACGAUAUAAUAUGGAUACGAUUUGAAACCUUGUUCCUUUUAUUAUAUGUACAUGGUGUCAAGGUGAAGAUCUCUUCUUUCACUUAGUGUAAUAUAUAUGAAGAAGAUCUGAAUACAGGUUGUGCCUGCUUAAUGUGCAUUCAACCAUAUGAUGAGUCGUGAUAUCUAUUUAAUUUCCCUUUCUUAGUGCCUGGGCUCUAAAAUAAUACUUUCGGCACUUUUCGCGGUAGCUAGCCACUGCAGAAUCAGCCUUGUUACUAUGCAUCCAUCUACUUUUAUCCUCCUCCCGGGGUCACUUUAAACAUGUUUUAGACUGUUUAACAGGUUCAGCAGCUGGGUAAUUUCAUACUCAUAGAAAUUUCUCCUCAUUCUAAUGUAUUUCCCGUAGUAUCAUUUACUUGUAUAAACCUUUGCAGUUUUAAUACAACCAGGAAUAAAAAGUUUCAAUCGUCUCUUUGUUGGGAUAAGGCUCAACUUGACUCUUUCUUUUUUCUUCUUCAUCUAGUAGCACAAGUAUUUACACUGUCUAAACUUGUUCAGCUAAACUUAACUCCUUUUCUUUUCUUCUUCACCCUGGUAAGCAUAGGUUUUUUUUCUUCUCAUGUUUGGCAAGAAGAUACUGGUGCACUGCAGGUUUUAGGGAAUAUAUUAAGUAUAUGCUGCAUAUGAUCAACACAAACUAGAGACCGUGGUAACUUCUCUUUUCUUUAUCAUCUUAAUUUAGUUUUAACGUAUGGACGACCUAUUAUUCCAGCAUCUCUGUUGAACUGCCAUCUCUUUCUAUUUUUCAUAGAGGUCACAUCUUAUCAGUUUCUUUUCAUCUGUCCUUUUUCCCCUAAGGCUAUAUUCAUUUUAAGUUUCUUUUACCAACUCUUUUAUAUGUUUUUCUUUUUGCUCUGUUGUGACUUUACUUUAAUAUUUUCAAAUAAAUGCUUCUUAACGCGUAUCUCCAUUUCAGUUCUAGGUUAAAGAUGAUGUUAGCCAUAGACAACAAUUAUUUUUAUUUGAGUGGAGACAUAAAUGAAGAAUAAUUGGAGGUUUCAUUAGAUUGUGUUCUGAAGACUCGAGUCUAUAAAGUGAAGAUGCAAAUUUUGAAGACUUUCUUACGAGUCAAUUAUCAUUUUGCUAGGAGUGUUAGCCUUAAGCUUAUGCUAUUUAGGAAUAUAUAUAUAUAUAUAUAUAUAUAUAUAUGCACACUUAUAUUUGGCUAGGGUUUUGUGUAAUAAUACAAUGACUAAUAGGCUACUUUAUUUGCUUUUUCUAAUUAAUUACAGAAGUAUGAAUGAAAGAAUGGUACUUUCUUAUGACGUUGUUUAUAAAUGUUAGAUUGUAUCACAAAUUGUAUGAUA